AUUCACAUUAUUUUCAUUGUUUAUAGAUGAUAUUACUCGGAAAUGAUAUUUUUUGUAAAUCUUUGGUUCUACAUUAUGCUCUUGGUUCUUCAUCAAAGACAACGCAUUUAGUUCGAAAAUUGGUGCUUGGCGUAUUUAAAGAAGAGAUUUUUAAGAAAGGACCUCAUCAAGUCACUCUUACUGGUUAUUCACCUCGUAAUAUAGGAAAGCAAACUGAAAUAAAAUAUGAUAAUAUCGAUAUUAUUGCUAGAUUUACAAUCAUAAAAUAUGCUAAAGCAAUAGGAAAACUUAAAAAGUGGCCAUAUGUUCGUACCAAAGAUCUUGAGAGAACGUUAUCCCAAAGGAUU